CAAGUCGAACGGUAACAGGAAGCAGCUUGCUGUUUCGCUGACGAGUGGCGGACGGGUGAGUAAUGUCUGGGAAACUGCCUGAUGGAGGGGGAUAACUACUGGAAACGGUAGCUAAUACCGCAUAACGUCGCAAGACCAAAGAGGGGGACCUUCGGGCCUCUUGCCAUCGGAUGUGCCCAGAUGGGAUUAGCUAGUAGGUGGGGUAACGGCUCACCUAGGCGACGAUCCCUAGCUGGUCUGAGAGGAUGACCAGCCACACUGGAACUGAGACACGGUCCAGACUCCUACGGGAGGCAGCAGUGGGGAAUAUUGCACAAUGGGCGCAAGCCUGAUGCAGCCAUGCCGCGUGUAUGAAGAAGGCCUUCGGGUUGUAAAGU
rnacentral:rRNA from 1 species